GACAGAGGGGGCAAGCGUUGCUCGGAAUCACUGGGCGUAAAGCGCACGUAGGCGGACUCUUAAGUCAGGGGUGAAAUCCUGGAGCUCAACUCCAGAACUGCCUUUGAUACUGGGAGUCUUGAGUUCGGGAGAGGUGAGUGGAACUGCGAGUGUAGAGGUGAAAUUCGUAGAUAUUCGCAAGAACACCAGUGGCGAAGGCGGCUCACUGGCCCGAUACUGACGCUGAGGUGCGAAAGCGUGGGGAGCAAACAGG
rnacentral:rRNA from 1 species